CGGUCCCCGGGCCCGCCUCUCUCCCGGCGGCCGGGUUGGACCACCCCAUGAGAAUCUUAGGGUUGGGCCACCCCAUGAGAAUCUUAGGCGGCGGGGGCUCGGCCCUCAGGUCGAGCAACCCGGCACAAGGGCAGGGCAGCCUGGGACCCCCCCACUCUGCCCCAUCCUGCUGCUGGGGACCUGCGGGAGCUGCCUUACCGUUUCACUGAGGAGCGUGAGCCACCACUGACUUGGAUAACGGCAGCCCCACCUUCUCUAUGAAGCAGGUUGAGUGGAGGCGAGGCCCACGCUGAACCAGUGCAGGAAGGAUUGCAGUGAAAAACCCCUCACCCAGGUCAGCUGACCCUCCUUGACUAUAAUGGAUGCUCCAGCCUCAAUCCCCCUGGGUGCCAGAGCCAGAGACUCAUAGGGGCUGGGCGACCCUUGGCACCCUACCAUUUCUCUCUCCACCACCCCCAGAGGGACGCUGCUCAGACCCACUCCUCACCAGAUCGCUUCUGUGCUGGUGCCUGAGGCCCCUGGCAGUGUGAGGGCUGCCCCCCUGCCAAGCCACUCAUCUGCUGCUCAGAACAGCUGUACGAUGGCUGCUUCCUGAAGGAGUGCUUCUCUCUGACUCAGGGUCACCAGCCCCUGCCGUGGACGCCUCAUGCCUCCUUCUGAGGCAGGUGGCUCGUUCAAGGCCCAGUUCCAGAGGCUACCUCCCUGUAAGCCCUUGAUGAAGCCCUGGGUGGCGGGGGGGGGGGGGUUCCAGGCUGUCUCUGUCUUGUUUUCUGAAUGACUGUUCAGCCCCAGCACCCUCUGUGUGUCUGCUCUGAAGGGACCAAUAAAUGCUGAUCUAAUGAAGGAAGAAAUGAACAAA